rnacentral:rRNA from 1 species
UACGGGGGGGGCAAGCGUUGUUCGGAAUUACUGGGCGUAAAGGGUCUGUAGGUGGCUUGCUAAGUCAGACGUGAAAUCCCUCGGCUUAACCGGGGAACUGCGUCUGAUACUGGCGAGCUUGAGUGCAGGAGAGGAACGCGGAAUUCCAGGUGUAGCGGUGAAAUGCGUAGAUAUCUGGAGGAACACCGGUGGCGAAGGCGGCAUCCUGGACCGACACUGACGCUGAGGAGCGAAAGCCAGGGGAGCAAACGGG